ensembl:lncRNA
GAGCCGAGUGGGCUCUGGCAGUGGGGGAUUAGCAGGCUUUGAGGGUCCUUGUUCUCCUUCCCAGCCGCCCUCCAGCCUUCCAUCUGGACGGGGACUUUGUGGUGAGCACCUCACCUCUACACCAGCCCACUCUCAGGUCCAAGGAUUCUCUGGGGGAAGCUGGUGGUUCGGAACCUCAGGGCCCACGUGGAGCUCGGGUCUGCAGCAGGAACCCCCUGGGAUAACUCCGUCUGUCCUGAGGCCCCUCCCCAGGGCUGCAGCAGAGUACCUGACUUACGGAAAAGGGCGUUCUUAACUCUAUGCAGUGUCCCUCUGAAGAGUCCCUGAGCCUGCUUGCACCCCCUAGAGG